rnacentral:rRNA from 1 species
AUUGAACGCUGGCGGCAGGCCUAACACAUGCAAGUCGAGCGAGCGGCGGACGGGUGAGUAAUGUCUGGGAAACUGCCUGAUGGAGUGUGCUAACUACUGGCAACGGUAUCUAAUACCGCAUACCAUCAGAUGUGCCCAGAUGGGAGUAGCUAGUAGGUGGGGUAAGGGCUCACCUAGUCGACGAUCCCUCGCUGGUCUGAGAGGAUGACCAGCAACACGGGAACUGAGACACGGUCCAGACUCCUACGGGAGGCAGCAGUGGGGAAGAUUGCACAAUGGGCGCAAGCCUGAUGAAGCCAUGCCGCGGGUGUGAAGAAGGCCUUCGGGUGGUAAAGCCCUUUCAGCGGGGAGGCGUUACCCGCAGAAGAAGCACCGGCUAACUCCGUGCCAGCAGCCGCGGUAAUUC